CAUUAACUCCAGUCACAUAAAUAUGAUCAACAAUUACAAUUAUAUCAAUCUUUCUCUUAAACACAGUCUUUCAAAACCGUAACUUCUCCAACAAAACACAAAGUUCAAUUAGUGAAUUAGCCUUCAAACUAUGAUCACUGGAUUCGUUCUUCUCUAUACAUUGUUUCUCUGCGUUUAUAUAAACUCCCGAAGUGUAGUCGUGGUCUAAAUUACUGUUUAUUUCACUUUAACUUACUGGAAACGCCCGCGUAUGUCACGGAUCGACAUUUUGACAAGUCGCAAAAAUAGAUGACAGGAAAUGCCGGUCUACAUCGGAAGUGACGUUAUGGCGUUAUUUUAUUUAAACGUGUUCAGUGAUUCGUUCUUGUCAACAAAUAUUGUGGUCUGCAGAGUUUACUAUACGCUGUUCUACUGGGGAAAAAGUGACAAACAAACAGGGUGAUGAAUGUCCCCCAUAUGGCAAAAUUCAACUUGAGUGGGCAUCCACAACCAAAUGCUGGAAAAAGCUUCAAACAGACUGCAGUGUAUUCUGUCUUCAAGAGCACAUGUGAACAGUUUUCCUCAUACCAGAAAGGACCCGGAGGCAGUGCAUGGUGUUCAAUAUUCUCAAAUAUGCGCCAGAAAGGAAAAUGGCAGUGUGUUGAAGACAUUGACAAACAAUUUGAAAACUAGUCUUUGUGCUAAGCCUGGCAGUCUGUGGCUGAUGACAUUGUUUGUAGUCUCUCAUGUUUGCAAAUACACUUAUAAUAACCUUUGCAAGACCUCAGUUCAUGAACUCAUGAAGAAUUUUAGUUCAUGAACUAUUCACUUACAGUUCGUGAACAGAAAAUGAGCCAUUGAAAAAUAGAAGGAAAGUGUUCAUGAACUGUUCAUGAACAGCACAACCCUAAAGAACUUUUCAAGAACUGUGUUGUUCAUGAACUGUUCAAGAACACUUCAUACCAUUGGUGUUCAUGAAUAGUUCAUGAACAGUUCAUGCCAUAAGGGUUCAAGAAUAGUUCAUGAACAUUUCAUGUCAUUAUGGUUCAAGAAUAGUUCAUGAACACUUCAUGUCAUUAGGUUUCAAGAAUAUUUCAUGAACACUUCAUGCCAAUAGUGUUCAUGAACAGUUCAUGAACUAAAAUUUCAAGAACAUUUCAUAGACGUGACUCAUUUUCUGUUCACUGACUAUUCGUGAACUAUUCAUGAACUCGGUUCACGAACAGUUCAUGAACUGUUCACGAAUUAUUUGUGAACUGCAAAACAACAUUUCGCAGGGGUAUUCUCAAUAUUCAAGUAUUUGUUGGCAAGAAAAACAAGUUCAAUUCUACAAAUUUGUCAAACAAUGCGAUUUCCGCAAUGCAAAGGGCCCCUGUCCCAUUAACAAAAUGGUGAGAACUGCAUGCACACAGUGUCAGAAAAGAAAUGAAGUGUGUUGGAUUUCAAAACAUGGUAUUGGUUAGGUUUUGUAAAGGACAUUGUAAUUGUAUAUGAUAAUUUCUAUAAACAUUGAAUUUGUUUACAUUUUCAAAGCAACUUAGUAUUGAUGAUAUGUAUUUUUGAACACAGCAAUUGAAACACGGUCAUCAUACUAAAGCAUCUUGCUUAUGUGGACAAUACUUAUUCUUCAAAUAUGGUAUAACAGCUGUCAACAAUUUACGAGAACAAAUUUUGCUUUAAUUACAGGUUGUUUUCUUGCAAAAUUAAAAAAUUAUUGCUCAGAAGAUCUAUUGA